AAUUUCCAAUUCAAAUAAAAUUCGAAUUCCAAUUUCAAAAUUCGAAAUCCAAAAUUCAUUUUAUUAAAAUUUGAGUUUGCCAGUUUCCAUAGUUAAUUUGGAUUCGGCAAAUAUUCGGUACGGGUAUAAUUCGGAUAAAAUUCGUCUUCUAAUUUUUAUAUUCGUUGAAAAAUAUGACUAAAAAACGGAUUCGUCAAUUAUUUGGAUACGUGAUUUAUACGGAUAUUAUGCGUUCACCAAUUAAAAAUUCGGGAUAAAAAAUUCGGCUAUUAAAUUAAGUUUUGCCUCUCAAGAUUUAUGCUAUUAGCAUAAAUACUCAUAUUUCUUAAGAAUUGUCUGCGACCACGAAUGACAUACCUCGCACGGCUGAUGGAUUUCAGGCCAUGGGGUAGUAUUCAUGAUUCAGAUUAAUAUUUAAAUAUGUAUGGUUAUCAGGUAUUGUGGAUUCAUGGCUUCCAAUAAACGCAAGCGUCUAUUGUUAAUUACCCCUAUAAAGUGUUAAGGCACCUUCGAUUAAGAGACCUCUGAAAUGCUGAAGAUAAACUAGAAUUGGACAAAAAGGAAAUUUACAAUUUAUUGCUCAAUUACAUGGCUUUAACCAAGGGCAUACCCUCAGUGUAUAUGAAUAGAGCGUAAAGAAAAUGUAUUUUUCAAUUGUAUCUUAGUUAUAUAUUCUAAGAUACCCAAUAUAUGGUCAAAUUAAUUUUGUUGGA
rnacentral:lncRNA from 1 species